rnacentral:rRNA from 1 species
UACAGAGGGUGCAAGCGUUGUUCGGAAUUACUGGGCGUAAAGGGUGCGUAGGUGGUUUGUUAAGUCUGCUGUGAAAUCCCCGGGCUCAACCUGGGAAUGGCAGUGGAUACUGGCAAGCUAGAGUGCGGUAGAGGGUAGUGGAAUUCCCGGUGUAGCAGUGAAAUGCGUAGAGAUCGGGAGGAACACCAGUGGCGAAGGCGGCUACCUGGACCAGCACUGACACUGAGGCACGAAAGCGUGGGGAGCAAACAGG